rnacentral:rRNA from 1 species
UACGAAGGGGGGCUAGCGUUGCUCGGAAUCGCUGGGCGUAAAGCGCACGUAGGCGGAUUGCUAAGUCAGGGGUGAAAUCCUGGAGCUCAACUCCAGAACUGCCCUUGAUACUGGCGGUCUCGAGUCCGGGAGAGGUGAGUGGAACUGCGAGUGUAGAGGUGAAAUUCGUAGAUAUUCGCAAGAACACCAGUGGCGAAGGCGGCUCACUGGCCCGGAACUGACGCUGAGGUGCGAAAGCGUGGGGGAGCAAACAGG